AACGAACGCUGGCGGCAGGCUUAACACAUGCAAGUCGAACGCCCCGCAAGGGGAGUGGCAGACGGGUGAGUAACACGUGGGAACGUACCCUUUUGUUCGGAAUAACCCUGGGAAACUAGGGCUAAUACCGGAUACGCCCUAACGGGGAAAGGUUUACUGCAGAAGGAUCGGCCCGCGUCCGAUUAGCUUGUUGGUGAGGUAAUGGCUCACCAAGGCUUCGAUCGGUAGCUGGUCUGAGAGGAUGACCAGCCACAUUGGGACUGAGACACGGCCCAAACUCCUACGGGAGGCAGCAGUGGGGAAUAUUGGACAAUGGGCGCAAGCCUGAUCCAGCCAUGCCGCGUGAGUGAUGAAGGCCUUAGGGUUGUAAAGCUCUUUUACCUGGGAAGAUCAUGACGGUACCAGGAGAAUAAGCCCCGGCUAACUUCGUGCCAGCCGCCGCAGUAACAC
rnacentral:rRNA from 1 species